GUGCUGGCUUAAUCAGCACAUAUAUAAAAUUUGGAAUGAUAGAGAAAAUUAAUUAACAUGGCCCCUGCACAAG
rnacentral:snRNA from 1 species